rnacentral:rRNA from 1 species
UGUAAGUCUCCUGUGAAAUCUUGUAUCUCAAAUACAAGGCGGGCAGAAGAUACUGCAUUACUAGAGACCGGAAGACGUAACGAGUACAGUUGAGGUAGUGGUAAAAUGUGUUAAUCUCAACUGGACUAACAAUGGCGAAGGCACGUUACGAGGACGGAUCUGACAGUGAGGGAUGAAGGCCAGGAUCGCAAAACAGAUUAGAUACCUGUGUAGUCCUGGCAGUAAACACUGCACACUAAACAUCAGUACCUCCUCGAGAGGUAUUGGUGCUGUAGGGAAGCCGAAGAGUGUGCUACCUGGGAAGUAUGGUCGCAAGGCUGAAACUUAAAAGGAAUUGGCGGGGUGAUUACUACAACGGGUGACGCGUGCGGUUCAAUUAGAUUCUACACCCUGAACCUCACCAGGAGCGACGGCAGUAUGAAGGUCAGUCUAAAGGGCUUACCUGACGCGCCGAGAGGAGAUGCAUGGCCGACGUCAGCCUGUGUCGUGAGAUGACCAGUUAAAUCUGGUAACAGGCGAGACCCGUAUGUAUAGUUGCUUUCUGAAGAAGAAGCCCACUAUGCAGACUGCCUGCGUAAGCAAGAGGAAGGUGCGGGCUACGUUAGGUGAGUACGUCCCGAAUCCCCUGGGCAACACGCGCGCGGCAAUGCUGCAUUCAAUGAGAUGCGACUCUGAAAGGAGAAGCUAAUCCCAUCAAGUGCAGCUUAGUUCAAAUUGAGGCUUGCAACUCAGCCUCAUGACGAUGGAUCCCGUAGUAAUCGU